GAUGAACGCUGGCGGCGUGCCUAAUACAUGCAAGUCGAGCGAACAGACGAGGAGCUUGCUCCUCUGACGUUAGCGGCGGACGGGUGAGUAACACGUGGAUAACCUACCUAUAAGACUGGGAUAACUUCGGGAAACCGGAGCUAAUACCGGAUAAUCUAUUGAACCGCAUGGUUCAAUAGUGAAAGACGGUUUUGCUGUCACUUAUAGAUGGAUCCGCGCCGCAUUAGCUAGUUGGUAAGGUAACGGCUUACCAAGGCAACGAUGCGUAGCCGACCUGAGAGGGUGAUCGGCCACACAGAAACUGAGACACGGUCCAGACCACUACGGGAGGCAGCAGUAGGGAAUCUUCCGCAAUGGGCGAAAGCCUGACGGAGCAACGCCGCGUGAGUGAUGAAGGUCUUCGGAUCGUAAAACUCUGUUAUUAGGGAAGAACAAAUGUGUAAGUAACUAUGCACGUCUUGACGGUACCUAAUCAGAAAGCCACGGCUAACUACGUG
rnacentral:rRNA from 1 species